GACGAACGCUGGCGGCGUGCCUAAUACAUGCAAGUCGAACGCAGUGGGGACGGGUGAGUAACACGUGGGUAACCUCCCAUCAGAGGGGAUAACAAUUGGAUACAGGUGCUAAACCGAUACUGAUGGACGGACCCGCGGUGCAUUAGCUAGUUGGUGAGGUAACGGCUCACCAGGGCCACGAUGCAUAGCCGCGCGGCGAGGGUGAACGGCCACACUGGGAGUGAGACACGGCCCAGACGCCUACGGGAGGCAGCAGUAGGGAAUCUUCGAGAAUGGACGAAAUUCUGACCGAGCAACGCCGCGUGAGUGAAGAAGGUUUUCGGAUCGUAAAACUCUGUUGUUGGAGAGGCGGUAUCUAACCAGAAAGCCACGGCUAACUACGUGCCAGCAGCCGCGGUAAUUC
rnacentral:rRNA from 1 species